rnacentral:rRNA from 1 species
UACGUAGGGGGCAAGCGUUGUUCGGAAUUACUGGGCGUAAAGAGCGUGUAGGCGGCUAGGUAGGUCCGUUGUGAAAACUCGAGGCUCAACCUCGAGACGUCGAUGGAAACCAUCUAGCUAGAGUCCGGAAGAGGAGAGUGGAAUUCCCGGUGUAGCGGUGAAAUGCGCAGAUAUCGGGAGGAACACCUAUGGCGAAGGCAGCUCGCUGGGACGGUACUGACGCUGAGACGCGAAAGCGUGGGGAGCAAACAGG